CUACUAACGUGUGGGAAAAAAGGCAAAUGUGCUUCCUCGGCACAAACAUAUAAUAAGGAAGUAUGUAAUAAUAAUUAUUGUUAUUGUAAUACGGUCUGGGUGAGCAUUUGGGAAAAAGAUAUCUAAUAACUGACAAGCGACGUGGCUCGGUUUGUUUUGAUCUGAAAUUCAAACAAUGGUUGUGUUUAUAAGGCAAUAAUACGCAGGGCACAGAGCACUGGCACCGCACCAACUAUGCACUCCCCAAGUCGGGUUUAUAUAGGUCAUGCCAAAGAAAUAAUAGUGUUCUUCAAUAUAAUUACUGAUUCAUUACGGAGAGAGAAUGUGAUCGAGUCUGUUUGGAUUUCAGGGAGGCGUUAGAUAUGGUAAAUUCGUACAUUUGAACUGGGUUGGGGAAGGCUUUGUGUGCUCGCCUAGCUCUGCUCCUGCAGGAGUCAGUGUUAGAAUUCCCACUGCAGCCUGCCCUGGCAGCAUGGGAGCCUCCCCAUGGAUUCCGCAGGCUCUGGUGCUCCCUGCCCUCUGCAGACUCUCUCAGCACCCUUUAAGGCAAGUCCCGGGUGGACUGGGAAGCUGAACUACUGCUAGACCGAGACCCAGAUCCAAACGUGCUGGACCUGGCACUUGGCUCAGGCAAUUGCACCCGCCCCACCAGCUGCCCUCGAUCCCGGGCGCUCCCUGGCCCCUCCACUUCUGAGCCUUCUGGUCCAUGUCCCUCUUCUGGACGUGUCUCUUUACACAUGUCAUUCCACUGUUAUUUCAGGGGAAAGCGGCAAAACCCAAAGGACAGGAUGCCCCAGCAGUGCCCACCAGUUCCCUGGCCUGAUGCUUACACAUUACGGGAGUUAAACUGGGGUGUCCUCGUCCCCUGACCUCUGUGGGGCUGGGCAGUGGUGGGGCCGUGCUGUCAGCUGCUGUGAUGAAGAGGUGCCACCACCACUUGGGGCAUCAAAGGAGAAGAGCCAGGCUCAGCGAGUGGUGCUCAGGGAGGACCGGGUGGGCUGGCCCAUGGGCUUUUGGACAGAUUUUCUACAUGGUCUUUCCUGGGGCAUGGGGAGCUGAUAUUUUGGCUGCAGUGCUCUGCUUUCCCCAGGAAGACCUGGACAUCCCCUCACUGGUCUGAGGUGUUUCCCACUGGCCUCUGCCCUGUGCAGACCCCGCACAUGGGGAUGGAUAAUGGUGCCCACUGCAGCAUCCUCAACACCUGGCACAGCCGAUCGGGAACAAGCAGGGACUAUAGUAAAUAUAUGCUUUCAAAAGGUAUUUUGAUAAAGGUCUUUCCAAGAAAGAAACAAACUUGGCAGCCAUGGGAUGAAAAGUCCCAUCAUGAAAAUUGAGUCAUAGCUGAUAGGAGGGGGAAAAAAUCCAUUAAAAGUAUAUUGUCAGUGUGCCAGUGGGGGAAGAAAAGCUUACAGGGGUGAGAGGGGGCGGUGGGGCCAUGCCUGGAGGAGAGGAAAGCAGCCCUCCAAAUACUGUUUCAAAAAACAGAAAUGGGGGAAGAAGGAUAACAAGGCAACAGCAUUUGCUGCCAAAUGAGAACCAUGUAUUAUAACUGCAAGCAAGGCUCAGCAGGGCUGGGAGGAACUCCAGAAGCUUCUAACUGAACUCGGCAACCAAACCACAAUGACGGAGAGAGUUCAGCGCACACAAACGCCAAAGCGAGCCGUUUUAGAAGGAAUUGGGCAAGCCUCUCGCCCUGAAUUAGAAGUUGACUUGCAGGG
ensembl:lncRNA